CAGAUUUUGUUGAUGUGGAUUUGGGGAUAUGCAGAAGCUGGAAGGGUUGGUUCUAUCCAGAAAGUUGCAGAUAGGCUUCGUUGUUACACUUGGUCAUGACUUCUUCAUCUCACUUCAAAAUUGCAAAAGGAGGUUUAUGCGGUGGUGGUUGUUGCAAGAAGGCCCUCGCGGUGAUAAUUUAUACGGUGGUGGUUGAUUAUACUGAUGUGACUGUGUCUUAGAUAUCCCCUGAGCUAUGCAAACUAAAAAUUAAGUUGUAAACUAUGAUUCAUAUCAUUGUUUUAAUAAGGAUUGGCCCAAUGCUUCAUGUGAUAUUCUAUUGGCUGAAUAAGGAUCUAUCUAAGCAUAUGAUUGUGUCUUCAAGAUAUGCUUAACUUACCAUUAACUAUAAGCAUGAUCAUUGCAAAACAUUAAUUGUAAAUCAUACCUUACCUACAUAAUAUAGCUAUAUAUUUCAUGUUAUUUUAAUUUACGGUUUUUAUGUGAUGUUGAACUCCUAAAUUACUAAUAUAUUGUGCUCAUCAUUGACCCGUGUGGUAGCACGGGUUAGCAAAUUAUGAGGUUUUGCUUGACAUGAAGGCAAUUUCCGUUAUCUGUCGUCUCAUUUGCAAUGACUAUUAACAAGAGUCAGGGUCGGUCGUUGAAACAUGUUGGUGUUUAUCUACCGUCUCCUGUUUUUUCACAUGAUAUUCUAUUGGCUGAAUAAGGAUCUAUCUAAGCAUAUUACUGUGUCUUCAAAAUAUGCUUAACUUACCAUUAACUAUAAGCAUGAUCAUUGCAAAACAUUAAUUGUAAAUCAUACCUUACCUACAUAAUAUAGCUAUAUAUUUCAUGUUAUUUUAAUUUACGGUUUUUAUGUGAUGUUGAACUCCUAAAUUACUAAUAUAUUGUGCUCAUCAUUGACCCGUGUGGUAGCACGGGUUAGCAAAUUAUGAGGUUUUGCUUGACAUGAAGGCAAUUUCCGU